UCAUCCAAUUCGAAUUGCAAAAUUAAAAAUGGUAAGAAUGAACAUGGUGUAUUGAUAAUUUGGAUAAUGAGAUUGGGCUUGGAAGAAUCUAGAUGAUUGUAACCAUAAGAGAAAUUGAUCACAUUAUGUGAAAGCAUUUAAUAUUAAAUUUUCUUUCUUUAGAUAAUAAUCUUGACCUAAUCCAUCCCCGAAAAGAAGUAAAA
rnacentral:lncRNA from 1 species